AGAUCUUACAGACUUUUGUAGACUUUCUGGUUUGAGAAGUGAAGUGGAAACACAGGCCAUAAUUAUGAUUCCUUCAACUGUCUGUUUCUGUGUACCUGCCAAAAUAUUUGGGCGUUCCUCCAUCCGGACUGCAUCAAUGGGAUGAUAACAUUCCUAUCGCCAUGAAAAAAAAAAACAACUACAUCAUUUUACAGCAUAGUCAGAACAUUUAUGUUGAAACUCAGUUUUUAACAUGCACUGAUCAAACGUCUUAUGGAUUGUGUCAUUUUUAAUUUUAGAGGAACUUGCACAGUUUUUAUUCAGUAUUCAGUGCAUCAGCCAAUCAAAUACAUGAAUCAGACAAAUACUGAUCAUUUAAGACACACAUAUUCAGCAAAUACAGUGGAUGUCUAAAAUAUUCUUUAGCUAACUCGGUUCUUAGUCUAAUGUUUUAAUGUGAGCCCACAGACUUGUUUAUCCACCCUUGGGUGCGGAUGAGCAGGUAUAUGUGUCACCUGAGGGCGGAUCUAAAGUAUAAAUACAAGCAAGAAAACAGCAUUUCCACACAGGAGAGCAAGACGAGACAAGAGGUAAGAUAUUCCUCAUUUAUUAGCUGCGACAGAUACUUGUCAAAUGCAUGGUUCAUGUGAGCAUUUGAUGACAAAUAGCAAAACAGAUUGAUUCAGUUACUGAAUUCACUCUUUGUCCAUUUAGAAAAUUCUUUCGCAAGGAUUUUAUCUUAUGAAACAUCAAAAUAAAUAUAACAUGAACAUGCAUGCAAAGAGAAUCUUGCUUACAGGUCUUUUUCAUUGUUUAGUGUUACGGACGUGUUGAAUAUCUGAAAAUCUCGACAUGAGUGAUCCACCACAAAAACAGGAGUGCGGAGAUUCUGGUUCUGGCUCCGAGAGCUCAGGAGAUGAAGGUGGAAAGAAGCAUGGAAAGGGCCAAGGCAAAGGGAAAGGGAAAGGACAAGGUCAGGGACAUGGACAUGGACACGGACACGGUCAAGGAGGUGAACAUGGGAAAAAAGGAUGUGAAAAAGGAAAAAAAUGAGCUCAAAGCCUGAGGCCUGGGCAUUCCAUUCCAUUUAUGUCCUCAUGACUUACACAACAAAACUUGUUUCAACUCAAUUUUGCAUACAAAAAAUGAAAUUAAAACACCCUUAAAAG
ensembl:lncRNA